AUUGAACGCUGGCGGCAUGCCUUACACAUGCAAGUCGAACGGCAGCACGGGGGGCAACCCUGGUGGCGAGUGGCGAACGGGUGAGUAACAUAUCGGAACGUGCCCUGGAGUGGGGGAUAACUAGUCGAAAGACUAGCUAAUACCGCAUACGAUCUACGGAUGAAAGUGGGGGAGUCGCAAGACCUCAUGCUCGUGGAGCGGCCGAUAUCUGAUUAGCUAGUUGGGGGGGUAAAGGACCUACCAAGGCAUCGAUCAGUAGCUGGUCUGAGAGGACGACCAGCCACACUGGGA
rnacentral:rRNA from 1 species